GAGGGAGGCUCAGCCUCGGCUGCUCCUCCGUCACGUGAUGCGCCGUGGGUGAGCCCCGCCGCCGUUGGUCCAGCCAUGUCACGUGACGGUGGCAGUGAGUUCUUCAGCACGUGGGGAAGGAACUGAAUUGGUGACAGGAAUGAGAGCGGCCUUCUUCCUAUUUUCUACUGGCUCAGAUUCCGUGGCUGUAAACUGAGGCUAACAGCAUUUCUGUCAGGCUAGAUCAGUUACGGGACUAAUAACCAUCCCCACAGAACCUUUUUGUGCCGCUCGGAGAGCAUGCUCCAUCUGGGAGAACAGUGAUUGCGUCACACCUUUGUUCCCAGCUCUGGCUGCACUUUAAGCAUCACUGAUACUGACAGGAACGUGCAGCGCUCUGGAAAUGGUGGUUUCGUCCACUGGUUGCUGCAAAGCAAGAAGAGGAAUCGCAUGCAGGGGACUAAAUUGGUCCCUGGUGGAAAUACGUACUUCAAUAGCAUUACAUUAAAGAGGGAUUUGGCCCAAGUUAUCCAGACCAGAGCCGUAAACUGUUGGAUUUUUAAAGGGACACACUUGAGACCACUGCCCCAACUCAAACUAACUUCUUUCCCAAGUGGAAAAUAUUGGGUAAGCCUGGAAUGUGAUUUGAGAAGGGAAUGAGAACACAGGCCAAUUCCUGCUGACAGUUACACCUGUGUAGCCUUAUUGACUUCAGGGAGAACAGAUUUUUGCACAAGAAUAGAUUUGGGUCCUUUCUGCUUUUUCACAUCUGGUAUAAGCAGAAUCUCAUUCACUUUCCUCCCCUAAACUCUGAGCACUUUAAGGACAAAAAUAAGCAAGGUCUGCUUGAUUUACACAUACGGGAAGCUCUCCUUUCAUUCUACACCAGCCUUAAACAAACACCAGACCCGCUGUAACAAGGGUGUCACUACAGCAGCCUUGGUUGGACUGUUCUUUUGAAAGAUCCUUAAUGGUUCUUUUAAGCUGCUGAUUUUCAGUGAAGUCUUUUUGUUCAGGGGGGCAGAGAACACAACAGGGAAUAGCUCUGUUCUGUCAACUAGUCAUUCAAAAGCUGAAAGGCUUUAGCUUAAGUUUGUUUAAUGUUUGUACAGGGAUUUUGAAGAGCUAACAUAGCACAGAUGUGCUAAAUAUUAUGACUGGGCAACCAUCUAAAGAUUUGUGUCACUUCUAGCGGUUACUUUUUUCUUACAGAAAGCAUAAAACAAACAAAUGCAAACUGUAGGGGGCUGGUGCACACAGAACUCAUGCUUAAAAAAAACCGUCAUGUCAGAGCUGCUGAUCACACGUUCUAGAAUAGAUAAUACUUAGUCCUGCCAUAAGUGCAGGGGACCGGACUAGAUGACCUCUCGAGGUCCCUUCCAGUCAUGUGAUUCUAUUCCAUGAUUCUAAUUGUGGAAGAGCUUGGUGACAGAAUGGCCUGAUGUGGUGAAUCACGGAGAUUAACUACACAAACUGGGUAUCAGCCCACAAAUAAUAUUUGGGUUCAAUAUGAAAACAGUAAUACAUUCUCCUCAGCCAGUGCAACGCUGGGAGGCAGCUUUCAGAGCAAGACAGCCUCAAAUACAACGCCACCCAAUGUAAUUUCCCCACUCCUACUUCCUCUACUUCAGUGGAUUUUACACCUGAGUGGUUUUCUUUUACAUAAUAAAAGCUGGCUGCCUCCCAGACUGCAGUCAGAGUGAGAUGCGCUGUGUGGUGUAGAGGCCAUAGCUUGGGGAAAACACCGGCAGGGCUUGGCUUUGCACUGGGCCAGGGGAGAGCUGAGGAUAGAAG